ACCUCUAGCCAGGGACGCGCGCUCGGUCCCCCGCCGUGCGCCCCCGGUCCCGCGCCCAGGCUCCCGCCCCUGGCCUCCUUACCAGCCACUUGUCGCCCAGCUGCGAACUGGAGCGGGAGGCGGCGGCCGGAGGGCCCAGGACAGCCCCGGGAGGGCGGCGAGGCGGAGCAGGAGCGCCCCGGCUCCGGCCACAUUCUCAGAGUCAGGAAAAGGGGCGAGAGGCCACAUGUCUCCCUCUCGCCCAACUGAAAACGAAACGGCGCUCCAGCAGAUUGGGUGGAAAGAGCUGGGUCUCUUUUCUCUGUUUUUCACGCUAGAAAGGGCUUGUAAACAUUGUUCCUUUUAAAAUGACCUACCCCAGGCAUUUGUUUGGGCACACUUCUGUCCUGGGGUCAUCGUUCCUAGGUGGCUUCGGACCUGGGACUUUUCCUGUAUCUGCACAUUGUCGUUUUAUACACAAUUGCCAAGGUGGGACUGCUUUCAACUUUACUGUGCUUGAAGCUGCAAAGCGGAUCCUGUUACAGUGCAAAGAAGAAAUGGCAAACGGAUAACAGCUACUGUGCCUAGAAGAUGGUUCUGCCCUGAUGUUUCCUGGAAUAAUGCUGAGGACUGCCUUUCGGGUAGCCGCCCUAUUCAGUUCACUUCAUCUCGGAAAUACCUGACCCCUGCCUUGGAUCCAGCGGCCCUCCUGAGAGCUGAGGAAGGAGGAAAUCCUAUGUGUCUGCUCCCGGAGCUGCCACAACCCAUCUUCCCACAACUCGGAACUUGGAAAAAGGAACCCAGGACACGACUUUGCUUUUCUUUUGGACCUAGUUGAAGUCACAGCUUGGAGGAAACCAGUUUGCACUAUUUGAUGAGGAAUUUGGCCACCAAACCACUGAUACUUUCCCAAAGGUUUGGCAGAAAUUGUUUUUUGAGUGGCUCACCAGAGUACCCAGAAGAAUCAGUAUGGAAUUAGAGGACAGUGGCCUACCCUAAAUAAAGACAUGAGUGAUGUAUAAAGUCUAGUGUCAAUUUAUUCAGAAAAUAUCAAAAUUAUUCUGGGAGCUAUGGGUCAAAGUUGAUAGGCACAAACAAACAAAAACGAAAGGUAUUUUAAAUUCACAGCUUGGAUAAGUAAAAGGGAGAUGUUGUCAUUUCUCUUCUUCAAUCCAACUUUAGAUUUUCAAGCCGGAAAAAGGGUAAUUAGAAGUUAGAAAUUGUUAUUGCCAGAAAAUAGCUCUAAACCCUGAAAAAAAAAAAAAAAAAAAAAAAAACUGACCCUCCUCUUGGGGAGUGAUAAACCUCAAUUACUGUUGAUAGUAAAACUGAUAUCAACUCUUCGAAACCAGUGAAAGGUGAAUGGAAACCUUACCCUAGGUUAAGGUUUAAAAAAUGUUCAUAAUAUAUAUUUGAAAGUUCCAUUAUUUAAAAUAUUCAUUAGACAUGCUUUGUAAUGUUAAGUUACUUCAAAAAAUCUUACACAAGGGAAGGGAAGUAUGUAUUAUUCCUUCAUUUAAGAGAAAGAUAAUGUGUGAAUAUUAGUUAAUAUUUAUCGUACAUUUACUACCUGUGUCGAAGCGUAGUGUUACACACUUAAUUUCAAUUAUUUAAUUUGAUUCUAACAAUGAAUCCCCUGAGAUGGAUAAUAUCCUCUUCAUUUUACAGAUGAGACAAUUGAGACUUAAAGGUUAAACAAAUGAUUUCCUAAGCUCAUUCAGCUAAUAAACGGUAGGGGACUGCUUGACACCAGUCCAGUUGACCCUCAAAUCCAUGAUUUCUGCCACCAUAUUCACAGAAACAAGACAAGAGCUGAAAAUAUAGCCUGACUCUUGAAACAGUCAAAGAAUUGUGUAUGUUUAUGAAAGUUCUGAUUAAUAAGAUAUUCUGAGGACAAAAGACAAGGCAUGGGUAGAGGGGCAAUGUGUAGAUUAGAAUGUAUCACAAUGCCCACUAAAUAGUAAAACCAUAGAAAAUGAAAUUUAAUCCUUACUGUGUAGAAUAUUUAGAGUAGAUUGUUUUUUCCUCGGUGUCAAUUACUAUUACAACUAUCAAAGAAUGAAAUUAAACAAGAAACGGUUCCUUUGGUUUUUUUUUUUAAAGGUGGGAGUUAUAAAAACAGUAUUUGCCAUCUGGUUUUAGUUAUGGCUGUGGAAAUUCUAUGGGUACAAUUUGUUGUCAUUGUUGUUACCACUACCAAUACAGAGAUGCUAAUUGUAACAUCAGUUUCUAAAUCAGAUAGUGAAUAAUUACAUUUUCAAUGUUUUCUUAACAUAGAUACAAGUUAACAGGAUAUGCUUCUGGCCUGUUUCUGGAUUCUAAGGGUAGAACCAGCAUAAAACUAGUCAGUCCAAGUAUUUCUAAAGAUCCACAGACACAGUUCUCCUGGAUUUGGGAAGCCUAGAGAUAUUAGCACAAUAAUUAAGGCCCAAGGUAAAAGCAACAGCAGCCUGAAAAUGCAAAAGACCAUACAUUUUAAUGGUAAGUCCUCCCCAGGAAGGAUUAAUAAAUCUCAGGAGGAAGAUUUAUUAUCUGUAAAUCCAGGAGGAAGAAAUCAAGAUGAAAACUAUCAUAUUUAUAAAUUUGAUUGUUGCAAUUUUAUAGUUUGACAUAGUGCAAUUGCUUUAGAUUUGAAGGGGAACUUACUUUAGAGUAAGUCACUCAAUCUCUUUUUUGGAAAGGCAAAUGCCACACCUGAUCCUCAUCACUCCCUUCUCCUUUGUCCAUAGCCUGGCUUUAUUCUGCCAUUAACACACACACACACACACACACACACACACACACAAAUUGGGAAGAGGAUUUCUCAUUUUACAGAAAGUAUGCUGGGCUACACAGGAUAUUCUAUCAGGUUUCUUCCAGCUAUAAAAUUCUGAGACUAAAUAUCAAAUUAAAGAAAGUACUAAUUGUCAGCGAUGGGGGAUGUACUGCUAUUUGCUUCUAGUGGUACUCACUGCUCAUUUCCUAUAUUCACUGGUAUAAAAAAAUUUCAAACACCCUCAAAAAAGCCUAUACUGGUGGUACCAGGAAAACGCUGAAAAUCAUUACUUUCUGUGUGGUGUCCAGCUCUUUUGGUUACAUCAUCACUUCGACCAUUCACUUUUAAAGAAAAACUUUUGUGGAACAAAAAUAUAAAGAUUUAUUUUUUUUCUUGGUGGCUUAGCACAGUGGCCUAAUGUGGCUGACCAUGUGCACCUGUUGUGUGAGUCACUUAGACGUGCUUUGUUUCUUGGUCACAGUUGAUCCCUCAACUCAAGCAUCUCACCCUCAAAAUGUUUGUUUGGGACCCAAGAGGCAAACCUUGAGAUGGGUUAUUUCUUUCACCUUGGAUUGGCUCAUCUGCUGGGAGUGGAGCCAAGCUGACAUUUCCUUUCCUUUUUGUCUGCCUAUCACUACGUAGAGGCAGCACAUAAGAGAGGGAAAGCCAUGCGCGUGGAGUCCAGCACAUCACCCAGAAGGCAGAUGUUCUAUCUCCAUUUUACUCAUUAAAACAAACAAAACCACACCUGGAUUGCCUGGUACUUAAAUAAAAUGCACUAUGAUGAUUGAAGAAAAAUAUCUUAUAUUUAAGGAAUAGUUUUAAUAGCUUACAUCUGUAUUUCUAUUAGCUUCCGUUUCUAUUUUUAAUAUUUGUAUAAUAUUAAAAGUAAUUUUAAAAAUGAACUAAUCUUUUUACAUCUCUUAUGAGAAUUUAAUGGAGAUAUGAUGUUUGAAGAUCAAAGAUACGUGGUAUUUGAAAUCAGAAAAUGUGUUUGCUUUUCUACACAGAUUACAAAUAUCAUGCAUUAUUUCACAAACUCUUCUCAAAGUGUUGAUUUUAAAAUUAGUAAAAGGAGGGUAUAUUCAUAUCACAUCCUGGCAUUUUUAUAGGCAAGAUUGAGCAGCUAUAACCUCUAAAGUGCUUUGAUCCCUAUAAGCCUCAAGAAGAGAAUGGUGCAAUUUGAAUUAAUAACUACCCAUUAUAGAGCAUUUGUAUCACAGUAUUUUCCAAAUACUAUCUUAUUUAACCCUACAGCAAUCCUAUGAUAUGGGGAUUAUGUACACAUUACAGAUGAGAACUUGAGGCUCGGAGAAAGUAAAUAACUUACACAAGAUCACAAAGCAAGUGACUGCCAGAGCCAGGAUCAGAACCCAGUCAGGCUUCAUUAGGAGCUCUGCUGAACUCUGUCUAGAGAAUUCUCACCACCUGCUGCAAAGGCUAAAAGAAAGGGUCAUAUUCCACAUGUAGAUUUUGAGAAAUAUUUGUUAUUUUUCUUAUGAUAAAGGUUAUGCAUACACACUCACACACACACACACACACACACAACUAGAAAUUACAGAAAAGAAAAAAGAUUAGCCAGAAUGUCACCACCUAAAGACAGAUAAUAUUUUGGUGUUUUCAAAUAUUCUUUUAUCUAUACUUUUUUGAAUUAUUUUAUUUUAAAAAUAACUUUUACUGGUUGCCUGAUUAUGAAGUAAUAAAUAUUCACCAUAAAUAUUUUGAAAAAUAUAAAACUGUCUAUAAAAGAAAUUUGAAAUGAUUGCUAAUCUCAAAAUAUAGAUACCUGUCAGUACUUUGGCAUUUUAUCCUCCUUGUGGCUGAGGUCACAUAUCUUGAGACUGAAGCACAAAAUUUCUAUACCAUACAGUUUAUAGUUUAGGCCACAACAUCAUUUUUAAAAUUGUUUCUUUGGUUUUUACUUGAUUUGCUGAUGUUUUAUUUUUUAGAAAAUUGCAGAUGUGAUUUUUAGGCAGCUGAUUGGAAUGUUCUGGUUGCUCUGAAUAGGACUAGCUACUUUGUUUUUUACUGAAGGACAAAUAUUAUUCCUACACACAUAAAAAACCUCAAAGAAUGAGUAAUGAUACUGUUUAAAUCUGCCCUUAUAACUCCAAAGAAUGACUUCAAAUUUUCUUUCUUCCAAAGCAACUUUUAAAAGCCUUUCCACUGCACAGUGAAAGAAAACCACAAACUCCUUGUUUAAUAAGUGGGAUCACGUGCUUUUAACACGAGGAAAAGGUCAAUCUGAAGCAACUGAUAUGGAACUGCCAGAGUAGGUACGUAAAUUUAGGAGUUACAUCAAUUUGGGAGGGCUGCAGAAAUGUGGAUCAGAUUUUAAUCACACUGAGGAAGUUUCUUUGAGCAAAAGACGUGAUGGUUGUUCUCUAGAACCUUUCUGUCCUGUCCGUUGCUUUGCCAAGGGAGCUAGAAAAGAAAUAAACAUUUAAGAACUUAAAAGGCUUCUGGAUAAAACUCAGCUUGGUGCAACACAUUUUAGCUAUCACAGCUUUACUCCCAAGCUUCCACCUUUCCUAGGAGCGCAGUAAAAACCUGAGCCAAAGAAACCAAACAAUAGAACUGAAAUUCUUUAAACUUGAGUUCUUGAGGUUAUAGUCUUUGUGCACUCCAUAAAGUCAAAGCCCUAAAAAGAUUUUUAGAAAACAAAACACUUGUAUCUGUAUCUAUUUCCCCAAACCUCUCUACAUUUACUUACCUUUUGCAGACUCAUGCUUUCUCUUUUCCUUGUGAUUGCAUUUGGAUAGAAUGAAGACCUCUCCUACAGUUCUCAACUUAAAUUCUUUCUUUUAUUUCUUAGCUACGAAAGAAAAUUCAAAAAAUUCAAUGCUCUACUUUGUAACUCCCUGGACAUAGUGAGUCCAUUAUGUACAUCAUGAGGAGGGAGUGGAGAAAGUGGAAUUCUUAUGUAAAUUCAUACAGCUUUGGAAAAUGGUUUAGCAGUACCUACUAAAGCUGAGCAUAUGCAAAACCAGUGACCCAGGAAUGUCAUGGGUACAUAACCUACAAAAAUGUAGACAGAUGCGCUAAAAGACAUGUACAACAUGUUCACUGCAGCCCAGUUCAUCAUCACCCCAAAGUGGAAACAUCUCAAGCGUCCACCAGCUGGAGGCUGCACAAUAAAACUGUGGUACUUUCGUCGGUAGAAACAUGCCACAGCUUGAACACACGCUGAAAACAUAACGUCAAGUGAAAGAAGCCAGGUCCCAAAAAAAGACAUACUGUAUGAUUGUAUUUACAUUAAGUCCCAAAACAGGUAAACUGAAUUCAUGCAAUGGAAAGUCAUGAGAGUAGCUACUGCAUCUGGGGAGGCAGGUGGUGGAGUGCCAGGGAAGGAGCACCAGGAUGGCUCAUGGUGCUAUUUUUAUGACUUGAUGUAGGGGAUAGGUAAUAGGUAGGUCCACUUUGGAAAAGUUCAUCUAGCUGUGUAUUUGUGACUUGCAGUCUUUUCUGCAUGUGUCAAUUCCAGUAAAAAGAUUACUUGAAAAUCAAGUAUAAUAUUAUUGUAUUUACAAAGCCCUUUCUACGUAGCCAGAAACAGGGUUGGUUUCCCAGGUGACUGAGAGGUCGUCAGGAGCUUAGUGAGUGGAGGGCAGGGGACAAGUGUGUUCAUUCUCUCUCCCUCUCUCUCUGCUGUUCUGUAAGGUGACAAGUUAGGCUUACUGCCAGUGUGACCUUAAAUAAGCCAUGCAUGCUUUCUGAAUCCUUUUUUCUUAUUUGGUGAGUGACGUGCUAGUUAAAAUGGUGUCUCCAGCCCUUUCCCGUCCUCGCUGCUGUGAUUCAAGCCCCCUCCUUCUCUGUGGGGCUUCCUCCGACCUCUCGAUUUCACUGUCACCUUUCUCUCUUCCUCUCUCUCCUGCUUCCUCCCUGUCCACCCCCAUCUCUGUCCCCCCAGGGCCGAGUUUGUUUUAUAUCUCUUUUGGUAUCUCCUCUGGUUUUCUGGCACCAUGUCUUACGUAGAGCAAAUAAUAAUGCUUUAAAAAAUUCUCGAUAAAGGAAAAAGUUCAGUAAAGUGUGAAUUUCACAUUGUAGUCAGUGGUUAAAUGCCUCAAACACUUAAAAAGUAGAAUUUAUCUCAACCUGGGCAGAAGGCAGUCCAUGCCAAUUUCUAAAUGGAAUCCAAUAGCAAGAAUGCACAAAGAACAAGCAGGAGUGGUGAGGAUUUCCUCACUCUGUCCCUCAGAGGUGGCGCGUCUCAUCUGUGAGGUGAAAGUGUCAUCACGUCAUUGACAUAAAGUAUAAGUACAGGGAACAUAAUCAUCUGGGAGAUUUUAAUUUGAGUUAAUAAGAGAUGAGAUUUUCAGGCUAAAAGUCUUGGGGCUGGACAAAGAAUAUUUAAAAGGAGGGUUGGUGGAUAAAGAAACUGUGGUAUAUUUAUACGAUGGAAGACUACUUGGCCAUAAAAAGGAAUGAAUUAACAGCAUUUGCAGUGACCUGGAGAUUGGAGACUAUUAUUCUAAGUGAAGUAAUUCAGAAAUGGAAAACCAAACAUCAUAUGUUCUCACUGAUAUGUGGGAGCUAAGCUAUGAGGAUGCAAAGGCAAAAGAAUGAUACAAUGGACUUUGGGGACUUGGGGGGAAGGGUAGGGGGCGGCGAGACAUAAAGACUAGAAAUAUGGUGCAAAGUAUAUUGCUUGGGUGAUGGGUGUACCAAAAUCUCACAAAUCACCACUAAAGAACUUACUCCUGUAACCAAAUACCACCUGUACCCCAAAAACUUAUGGAAAAAUAAAUAAAAGAGGGUUGGAUGAUAAGAAUUUGUCAUCUUGUUUUCUGAAUUGUUCAAUUGUACUUAAUUGUACUUCUUUCCUUAAGGAGUUGAAAAUCUUCCUAAACUGCUGGAGGAUACACCUCUGAUAGCUUGAGACAAAUAUCCUCUUGAUCAUUGUUUCACCAUAUUUGUCUUUGCUCAUGGAGAACCAUUUUGAUCCGUGGUUUAGCCUCCCAGGUGAUUGAACAAUACCGGUGAUCUGAGGCAGACCCUCUGUGACGGAUAACAGGAAAGAAUAUUGAUUGAACAUCUACUCAAGAACUGCAAAACAGAGAUUACCUGACCUAAAGCAUUUAUAUUGCCAAUCAUGUUGGAGAGUCCAUGUGGUGAUUUCUGAAAACGAGAUGUGAGAAAGAAGAGGAUAAUUUAAGUCUAGACCUACAGAUUGUGCUGAUAAAGUGAUGAAGAACUACAAUCUUCUUAGUCAUUUCAUUGUAUAAGUGCAAUAAAGGAUUUUGUGUCUUUCCUGGCAAACAACUUGUGACCACAGUGAUGGCUCCAGCAGAAUGGAAAAGACCCUUUACCUCACAUCUCAGAAGUAAAGAUGCUGAUUAUUUGACAUCGCCAUUGGAAUCUCAAAACAGUGUAAAGCAUUUGCUAAAAAGAGUCACUUUCUGAGAAAUGACUCAGAAUUCGACUUACGUACUAGCAGAACUUAUUGCCCAUAAAAGGAAAGGCCACACUUUUUGUGAAAACUUAAUAAUCCCUAGGAUGUAAAAUUAUACUGAGUUAAAUCCUAGUCCCAUUUUUAGUACAAGAAACUGGAAAAAAAUAAUCCACUCUCAAAUGGUAAGACAAAUUGAGAUAUUGCUGAAAAGCCUCUUGACCCUGAAAAGUUCUGAAUAAUAAACUGAUAAAAGCAGCAGCAGCAUCUAACUUGACACCAGUCAUGUCAUUUGUAAGUAAGGUUGGUAAAUAGUAAUGAAAUUCAAGCAAUAUUUUCAGCUAUGAAGAGCUGCUCAAACCAAGCAAAGGCCAAGAUCUACUUUAAAUUUUGUCUACGUAUCUUUAAACAAGGCAUCUGUCUUGGGGGCAUUGUGUUAGCAUCUGUACCGGUAACACCUCAUCCAGGGUUGGCUUGAUAAGAGGCUUCACAUUUUUUGUAGAAUAAGAAAAAAACCUGGCAUUGUCACAACACACUGAUUUGUUCAUGCAGUAGUGCUUGGGGUCAAAAACUCUUGGAAUGACCAGGCAGAGUGGCUCACACCUGUAAUCUCUGCACUUUGGGAGGUCAAGGUGGGCGGAUCACUUGAGGUAAGGAGUUCAAGACCAGCCUGGCCAAUAGGGUGAAACCCCAUCUCUCUUUUUUUUUUAAAUUAUACUUUAAGUUCUAGGGUACAUGUGCACAAUGUGCAGGUUUGUUACAUAUGUAUACAUGUGCCAUGUUGGUGUGCUGCACCCAUUAACUCGUCAUUUACAUUAGAUAUAUCUUCUAAUGUUAUCCCUUCCCCCUCCCUCACGCUGCGACAGGCCCCGGUGUGUGAUGUUCCCCUUCCUGUGUCCAGGUGUUCUCUUUGUUCAAUUCCCACCUAUGAGUGAGAACAUGCAGUGUUUGGUUUUCUGUCCUUGCAAUAGUUUGCUCAGAAUUUUUUAAACCCCAUCUCUACUAAAAAUACAAAAAUUAGACAGGUGUGGUGGCGGGCACCUAUAGUCCCAGGUACUUGGGAGGCUGAGGCACUAGAAUCACUUGAACCAAGGAGGCGGAGGUUGGGGUGAGUUGAGAUUUCGCCACUGCACUCCAGCCUGGACAACAGAGUGAGACUCUGUCUCAAAAAAAAAAAAUAAAGAAAAGAAAGUAACAAAAGGUUUGAAUGCUCCUGCAAAUACAGUCAAACAGGGAUAAGUUCAACUGAGAUUUUUAAAAUUUUGUGAAAAGUCAGAUAAAGAGACAUCAUCUUCUCCUCCAAACAGAAAUGUCAUGACUGUGCUUGAGGGAUACUUUCAAGAUGACACAAAACCAGGUUUUUGGAGUGCUUUGAAGAUGGAGAAUGGCUUAUUAACACUAGUCACAUUGGCAGAUGUUUUUCAUAACAUCAACCAGUUGAAUAAGCCUCUGCACAGCCCUGGAGAAAAUGUUUUCACCAAAAAUGUCAAGAGUUUUUGGAUUUAAAAGAAAACUAAAGUUUUGGAAAAAACCAUGAGGCAAAAGAAAUCCUUGAGAUGUUUCCAUUGUUGCUUGGGCCUGGGGCCAUCAGUAAGUCUCAAUUCUUAUUGAGCAGAACCUGGCAGCACUGUAGAAUGAAACUGAACCAUACCUACCCUCUCUUUAAACACAAGUGCAUGACCAGGCGAGGGAGCGUUUCGUUGAAUCUUUGACUCAGUCUGAGAACAGAGUCUGGAGAGAAGAGGAAGAAUCCUGCACCCCAUGCAACCCCAGACUCUCUAGAUGGGACUCACAUAUCACUCUGGAGGCGAGUCCUGGGUUUCUGGGUAAGAGAGUGCUCUGUCAGCCUCAGGGAAACCAUGAACACUUCACUGCAGUUGCAACUUCCCGCACAUAGGAACAAAUUUUCUGUUAUUUAAUAAACACCAAGAGCAAGGGAAAAAGUUGUAGCCCUUCAGUUGACAAUGACAUCUGUGUGUACCUCAAGUUUGACUCAGAAUUGAAUUUUUAGGCAGCACAUGUGUCACAUUAAAGAAGGUCAAGUUGAUCACCAAUGACCAAUGGUUUAAUCAGUCACGGCUUCGUAAAAACUAAAAAGGACAGAAUUCAGAGGGCUUGCAGUUAGUGGAACACGUGGAGGGCCCUGGAGGGUGUCAUGCCCAGGACAUGAUAGCUCUGUACCCCAUCCCAUGUAUCUCACCAUAUGCAUCUCUUCAUCUGUGUCCUUUGCAACAUUCUUUAGAAUAAACCAGUAAAUGUGUUUCCCUGAGUCCUGUGGGCUGCUCUUGCAAAUUAAUCAAACCCAGGGAGAGUCGUGGAAACCCUGACUUGAUGCCAGUUGGUCAGAGUUCAGGAGGCUUGGACUUGCAACUAGGAGGAAGGAGGGGGUUGGGGACUGAGCCUACAACCAAUGGGAUUGGUCACUAUCUCCAGGUAGAUAGAGUUGGAAUUCAGUUGGAGGACACCCAGCUGGUGUCCACUGCUUGGUGGUGAGAAGAAACUCCCACACCUUUGGUCACAGAAGUCUUCUGUGUUUAUUGUUCUAGUGUGAGAACAGAGGAGAAGCCUGGUUUGAGUGAGUUUUUCCUGAAGCAAAAGGGAAGAGCUUAAUUUCAAAAGGAAUAUCUUGAAAGACGCAUCAACUCACCAUUAGAAAACAUGAAACGACAGAUUAUAUCCUAAGAUUGUGUGAACCUCUUACCUGGAAACCCGUACAAUUGCUUUAUCUACCAAUCCUAAACUAUUAUAUCUUGAUCUUUACUCAAUCCUAAUUACACACCCACAUUGAAAGACCUAUCUUAAUUCAGACUUCAAAAUCUUACAAACGUCCAAGUCCCUCCUUUGAAAUGCUACUAAGACUGCAGUAAGAAUACAUAGCAUGCAGUGACUGAGAGGAAGAGAGAUACUAACACUUGAAGUAAUCCAGUCUAUCAAUAGGAGAUGGACUGCUUUGAUUUAAAGCGAUUUACAAAAGGAUUUGGAUACCUCAUCUCUCCUGUUUCGCCAAGGUCUUGACUCAUCGCUGCAGGUUGUAUAAUUAGUCUCAUUAAUCUAGCAAAUGAUGGCAAAAUGCUUGGUAAUGAUGUCUAACUGGGGUUCCUUUCCAAGGAACCUUUGUUGUUUAAUUAGGAGAUAAUGGAUGAGCUUGUAGAGAGACCAGGGUUAUAAAAGGCAGUAGCAUGUCAAUGUGCCCAUGCCUAGUUCAAUACAAUGGUUUUUAAGCCAAGUAUUCAAAUAAAUUGACAUUAUGUAGGUACAUGAAUUUAAAAGGGGUCAUUAUUCACUAACUAUAUUUUAACAUAUGCUUAGAGCAACCCAUUACUGCUGGGGAUAAUAAACGGUGCCCAGAUGAACAACCACAUUGCAUACAAAGGAUGGUGUCUGAGAUCACUACUGGGCCCGACUUAGCCACCAUCUUUCCAAAUAGAAUCAUAGGUUUGGAAAUUUAUCCCUUCUAUGGAUGAAGCACCAAACUAUUAAACUGCAAAACCAUUCUGUAUUUAUUCUUUCCAG
rnacentral:lncRNA from 1 species